rnacentral:rRNA from 1 species
GUAAGGAAUAUUGGACAAUGGACGCAAGUCUGAUCCAGCCAUGCCGCGUGAAGGAUUAAGGUCCUCUGGAUUGUAAACUUCUUUUAUAAGGGACGAAAAAAGGCUUUUCUAAGUCGUCUGACGGUACCUUAUGAAUAAGCACCGGCUAACUCUGUGCCAGCAGCCGCGGUAAUACGGAGGGUGCAAGCGUUAUCCGGAUUCACUGGGUUUAAAGGGUGCGUAGGCGGGCAGGUAAGUAAGUGGUGAAAUCCUAGAGCUUAACUCUAGAACUGCCAUUGAUACUAUCUGUCUUGAAUAUUGUGGAGGUAAGCGGAAUAUGUCAUGUAGCGGUGAAAUGCUUAGAUAUGACAUAGAACACCUAUUGCGAAGGCAGCUUACUACGCAUAUAUUGACGCUGAGGCACGAAAGCGUGGGGAGCAAACAGGAUUAGAAGCCCUAGUAGUCC